rnacentral:lncRNA from 1 species
AACAAAAGCGCACUCCAACAAUGCACACUUGUCCUUCACUUUUCCCUUUGAGCCCCAUAUUCAUUGGCGGCGCUGCGAGCAGAGAAUAGGCAAUGUGUGAUUAUACUGUAUGGAGCUGGUGAGGGGAGUGUGUCAAAGUGUGCAUGCCACACAAUGUGCCUGGAGAGAUUGAUGUUUUUGUCAUCCACCUGCUUCAAAGCUGUAAAAAAGCCGGCUGAUGCAAAUAGAGAAACCUAGCCAGGCAGGCUCACAAACAAAAGAGGGAGAACCUCCACUGCUCCUCUUUUUGCACAUCUGCUUUGGAGGAAUAUCUGAGGUUUCUGUUGUGACGCACACUGCAGGCUCAAAUGAACACUGAAUCUGAGUCUGGUGUCUGGCGACUACCUGAUCAGUCACUGGUCCUCCUCUUGUCUCUUUCUGGUGCUGUUCUGGUUGCGUCCCCAGCGGGAGCAGAAAUGGGGCAUGGAGCCUGGGCGGGGCGGCUGGGAGGAGAGACGGCAGCCGGGGUGGCGCGCCGACUGGAGGAGUGCCAACCAGCAUGCGACAGGCGUGGACAGUAAUGCCUGUGUGAUUGGGCCGCGCCGGGUGAUGAUUUUAAUAAACACACGCACGCCGAGGGGGCCACAGGUCAACGGUGUUUGGAUUCAUCAGCCUCACAGGUAGGAUGGAGCUGUGAAUGAUUCAAGAGCACACUACACACACCCUUUAAGAAGCCAGUUGGCAUGUCGUGUGAAGAAAAUGUCGACUUUAUCUGCUUGUAUAUGUCAAGUCAUGUCCUAUAUUACUACACUGUAAAAAAAAAAAAAGUGAAAAAACUUACUUUAACAUAAAAUCUUGUGUAACCUAACCCUGACUUUAAUGUUUAAAUGAAAUAUAUUUACACAUAUUAAAACAAUAAAUACAGGCAAACACUUGCUUAAAUUUACAGA